rnacentral:rRNA from 1 species
UACGGGGGGGGCAAGCGUUGUUCGGAAUUACUGGGCGUAAAGGGCGCGUAGGCGGCCUGCUAAGUCGGAUGUGAAAUCCCUCGGCUCAACCGAGGAACUGCAUCCGAUACUGGCGGGCUUGAAUCCGGGAGAGGGAUGUGGAAUUCCAGGUGUAGCGGUGAAAUGCGUAGAUAUCUGGAGGAACACCGGUGGCGAAGGCGAGUCUCUGGACAUUUCCUGACGCUGAGGCACGAAAGCCAGGGGAGCAAACGGG